CCUACGGGUGGCAGCAGUGAGGAAUAUUGGUCAAUGGACGAGAGUCUGAACCAGCCAAGUAGCGUGAAGGAUGACUGCCCUAUGGGUUGUAAACUUCUUUUAUAUGGGAAUAAAAUGUUCCACGUGUGGGAUUUUGUAUGUACCAUAUGAAUAAGGAUCGGCUAACUCCGUGCCAGCAGCCGCGGUAAUACGGAGGAUCCGAGCGUUAUCCGGAUUUAUUGGGUUUAAAGGGAGCGUAGGUGGAUUGUUAAGUCAGUUGUGAAAGUUUGCGGCUCAACCGUAAAAUUGCAUUUGAAACUGGCAGUCUUGAGUACAGUAGAGGUGGGCGGAAUACGUGGUGUAGCGGUGAAAUGCUUAGAUAUCACGAAGAACUCCGAUUGCGAAGGCAGUUCACUGGACUGCAACUGACACUGAGGCUCGAAAGUGUGGGUAUCAAACAGGAUUAGAUACCCCAGUAGUC
rnacentral:rRNA from 1 species